GGAGUCUGGGCCGUGUCUCAGUCCCAAUGUGGCCGUCCACCCUCUCAGGCCGGCUACCGAUCGUCGCCUUGGUGGGCCUCUAUCUCACCAACUAGCUAAUCAGACGCGGGUCCAUCUUACACCGAUAAAUCUUUUCACACUGUAUCAUGCGAUACCGUGCGCUUAUGCGGUAUUAGCAGUCGUUUCCAACUGUUGUCCCCCUGUGUAAGGCAGGUUACCCACGCGUUACUCACCCGUCCGCCACUAAGUCAUCCCAAUUGAUUCUGCUUUGUGCAAGCACUCCACUUCAUCGGGCGGGACGCUUCGUUCGACUUGCAUGUGUUAAGCACGCCGCCAGCGUUCAUC
rnacentral:rRNA from 1 species